rnacentral:rRNA from 1 species
GACGAACGCUGGCGGCGUGCUUAACACAUGCAAGUCGAACGGAAAGGCCCUGCUUUUGUGGGGUGCUCGAGUGGCGAACGGGUGAGUAACACGUGAGUAACCUGCCCUUGACUUUGGGAUAACUUCAGGAAACUGGGGCUAAUACCGGAUAGGAGCUCCUGCUGCAUGGUGGGGGUGGGAAAGUUUCGGCGGUUGGGGAUGGACUCGCGGCUUAUCAGCUUGUUGGUGGGGUAGUGGCUUACCAAGGCUUUGACGGGUAGCCGGCCUGAGAGGGUGACCGGCCACAUUGGGACUGAGAUACGGCCCAGACUCCUACGGGAGGCAGCAGUGGGGAAUAUUGCACGAUGGGCGGAAGCCUGAUGCAGCAACGCCGCGUGCGGGAUGACGGCCUUCGGGUUGUAAACCGCUUUCGCCUGUGACGAAGCGUGAGUGACGGUAAUGGGUAAAGAAGCACCGGCUAACUACGUG